GAGAAGUCAUGGAGGAGAGGCUGGGCUUUAUGAUGCCAGAAGAAACAGUGCGAGAUAGGACGGGUCGAAGACCUGCCUCCUGCCAGGAGAAAGGGAAUUGGAACGAAGAGUUCAGGUUCCCUGAAGCACGUGCUUUUCCGCCGGCACUGGAGCCGCAGCAACGGCCCUGAGUAAUGAGCAUGUGGCACGGCAGGUAGAGUUACAGACAGUGAGAGAGACAGAGAGAAAGGUCUUCCUUCCAUUGGUUCACUCUCCAAAUGGCCACAACGGCUGGCACUGCACCGAUCCGAAGCCAGGAGCCAGGUGCUUCCUCCUGGCCUCCCAUGUCUGGCACGAUCAUGCAUGGCUUGAGAACCACUUUAGAUGACAUUCAAGGCUGAGUUAUUUCAUCCAGUGAAAUCAUCUUCAGCGAUUCCAGUGGAGGCCCAGGUCCAACAGCUUCACAUAAAUCUUCCUUGAGAAAGACCAGAGGUGGAUGCUUCCUUCCAUGUUCUCAGUGGAUAAUACUGCUCCUGACAGGGGGACGUGGCCAGCAAAGUCUGAUCAGGUGUCCGUAAGUUUUAAAUGAUCAUAUUUCUUCAUGAACUCUCUGCACGGCCCACUACGCGGGAAGCACUAGCUGCUUGAGCUCAUUUUGUAUUCCUCUGGCGUGCGAGUAGCACCUCUGCGGACCUCACUCCAAGUGUUUCUUCAAGAUAAAGCGGAAGUGGGCGUUAGGCACAGAGGUUAAGGCACUGCGUCCCAUGUAGGAGUGUCCAUUUCCAAUACCAGUUUCCUACUAGUGUGCGUUCUGGGGGGCAGUAGGUGGUAGCUCAGGUACUUGGACCCCACAUGGGAGACUCAGGUGGAGUUCUGGGCUCCUAGCUUCCGCCUGGCCACUAGUCCUGACUUUUGUGGAUAUUUGGGGAGUACUCCAGCAGAUGGGAAACCAAUUUCUCUCUCUCUCUCUAUUUCGCUUUCUCUUUCCCUCCCCUUCCCAGAUUUCCAAAUAAAUAAAACUUUUUAAAAAUUAAAAAAUCUCCAUACCUGAAUGUCAAUGAAGUUUCCCUUUUUUUUUUUUU